rnacentral:rRNA from 1 species
ACACUUAAGCAUAUCAAUAAGCGGAGGAAAAGAAACUAACAAGGAUUCCCCUAGUAACUGCGAGUGAAGCGGGAAAAGCUCAAAUUUAAAAUCUGGCAGUCUUUGAUUGUCCGAGUUGUAAUCUGGAGAAGUGCUUUCCGCGCCGGACCGUGUACAAGUCUCUUGGAAUAGAGCGUCAUAGAGGGUGAGAAUCCCGUCUUUGACACGGACUACCGGUGCUUUGUGAUGCGCUUUCAAAGAGUCGAGUUGUUUGGGAAUGCAGCUCAAAAUGGGUGGUAAAUUCCAUCUAAAGCUAAAUAUUGGCGAGAGACCGAUAGCGAACAAGUACCGUGAGGGAAAGAUGAAAAGCACUUUGGAAAGAGAGUUAAACAGUACGUGAAAUUGCUGAAAGGGAAACACUUGAAGUCAGUCGCGUUGUUCAGAACUCAGCCUGGCCUUGGCCUGGUGCAUUUUCUGAACGACGGGCCAGCAUCAAUUUUGACUGUUGGAUAAAGGUUAGGGAAAUGUGGCUUCUUCGGGAGUGUUAUAGUCCUUGGCUGCAUACAAUGGUUGGGAUUGAGGAACUCAGCAUGCCUUUAUGGUCGGGGUUCGCCCACGUUCAUGCUUAGGAUGCUGGCGUAAUGGCUUUAAAUGACCCGUCUUGAAACACGGACCAAGGAGUCUAACAUGCCUGCAAGUGUUUGGGUGGAAAACCCGAGCGCGCAAUGAAAGUGAAAGUUGGGAUCCCUGUCGUGGGGAGCACCGACGCCCGGACCAGACCUUCUGUGACGGAUCCGCGGUGGAGCAUGUAUGUUGGGACCCGAAAGAUGGUGAACUAUGCCUGAAUAGGGUGAAGCCAGAGGAAACUCUGGUGGAGGCUCGUAGCGAUUCUGACGUGCAAAUCGAUCGUCAAAUUUGGGUAUAGGGGCGAAAGACUAAUCGAACCUUUUCG